GAGCAGUCCACGUACACCUUCCGAACGGCCCAUUAGCUAACCCGUGACCUUCUCCUCCCCACCUCGACCAAACCCACCCGCCGCCACGACUGGACUGGAUCCCGCCGCCGCUGGCGGCCGGCCUCCCUCCCCCGCCGCGCCCGGCCUCCAUCCCCCGCUGGUGCGGCCAGCCUCCUUCCACCAUGGCGCCCAGCCUCCCUCCCUCCGGCCGCCGCGCCCAACCUCAUCUGGUCGCCCAUGACUUCUUCCUCCUCUCCAUCCCUCUGCUCAACGACAAGCUGAGAUCCGAUCUUCUUCACUGCUAUAGUUGUACUCGACAACUCAUCCCACGAGGAGGUUAAAGUGGGCUGGUCAUAUCUAGUGCCUGAAGAAGCAAGGCAAGUAUCCACUAGUCUGAAGGAUGUUGGAGACAAAUACAACAUCAGUGUUGCUGGAAGAGAAUGCUUGUAAGAGAAAGUCGGAUGAUGUGGGAUGGGAGUAUGGGAGUCUAGCCGAUGUUUACAACAAGGACAAAGUGAAGUGUUUGUUUUGUAACCAUGUGAUCAUUGGAGGUGUUUAUCAUCACAAGCAGCAUGUGGCUCAUGUUGGUAAUUUUGUGGCUAAAUGUAAGAAAAGCUUGCAGGAAGCUAAAGAUAGGUGCAAGAAAUCUCUUGAGGAGGCAUCUAAGAAGAGGAGGAAAAAUACUUCCCGUGAGCUAGAGCUCAGAGAAGGCGUGAAUAUUUCUCGUGUUGGAGAUCCUUAAGUUACUUGUAUUGGAAGCGCUGAGCCACACAAGAUAGGUCCCAUUGACAGUGGACAUGUCCUAUUGAUCCUAAAUUAACUCAAGUUGUGCGUCUGUGGAACUAUCCCUAUUUUGAGUUGAGAGAAGUCUUUCAAAUAAGAUUCUAGGAAUAAAGUACUUGUGAACUUGAGAUCAUAAUUUAUAAUGCUAUAUGCCAUAUUUGGUCUUGCGUGA